CUCUUCUAGUAUACUAAUUACAAUUGACUUCCAAUCUCUAAAAUCCGGUACCAACCCGGAGAAGAGCA
rnacentral:tRNA from 1 species